AUACUUACCUGGCAGGGGAGAUUCCAUGAUCAUGAAGGUGGUUUUCCCAGGGCGAGGCUUAUCCAUUGCACUCCGGAUGUGCUGACCCCUGCGAUUUCCCCAAAUGUGGCGAAACUCGACUGCAUAAUUUGUGGUAGUGGGGGACUGCGUUCGCGCUUUCCCCUG
rnacentral:snRNA from 1 species